UCUAACUUUAUUAUGUUUAAUCCAGAACUAAACACUAUUACGAAGGCUGUCUUCUUAAGAACCCUACCGAUCUCUCCCCUUUUCUCAACCCCAAUUAGGCGCUCCCCGUUUUAUGUUCACUAAACCGCCAAGGUCUCCAUGUGGUGCAGAGAAUUGAAAGGGGAAACUACAUGGGUGUUAGAUUGUCCUAGAAUUCUAAACAUGACAGAAGGUCACCAAAAUUUAGGCCGCCUUUUACACACAAUCGACUACCAUAUUUAAUCUAUUCUCUGUAAUUCUCAAAUAUCUAGUCGAAGAUAUUAAGAUUUUAGUAAGUAUUUUUCUGUUCUAAUCUGUUGUUCACUGGAUUGAAUUUCUGGUUAACUGCCUUCAAAUUUUUUUUUACAUGAGGUUAAAGUUUGCACUUCCUUUGAUUUAUCUUUUUAUGUUGAACUGAUUUUGUACUGGUAGUGAUGAGAUUAUUAACAUUAUUUGGCUGUUCAAUCGUUCUUACUGUUAUAGAACCUUGAAUCAAUUUACUAGUACAUACGACAUUCGUCAAACGACGCAAAAGGUAAUGAAUUAAAUUAUAGGACUAUAGGACUAGUAUUUGUUACUGACAAACUAUUCUAUAUUGAGCCAAUGAAAUGGCACUCUGUAUUGUUUCCCUAUAAAAGAGAAAACAACUGAAUAUUAAAUUGAUUUGAAAUAUCUGAUAAGAUAUGGAUUACUAGUUUAAUCUUGAUCUUGGUAUUUUUGACAUGUUAAAAUUUUUUUAACGUGUUGAACCUUAUUCGCUGCUGAAUCAUGUGAUGUUGGUUCCAACAGAAGGAUAUUAUAUAGUAACUUGUCUUGUGCUAGAAUUAUUGUGGUUGUGCUUGAUGGCGACUCUAAUCCAAACAACACAGUAAAUUAGAUUGGAAAAGAAUCUUCUUUGUGAUGGUUGACUGGAAAAGAAGCUUGUAGAUACUUGUUUAUGAAGGGAAGAUAAAUGACCAUUAUGAUUAUGUGUUUGAUGAUUUAGAUUGUGGAUAGUGUAGGGUAUCUUGUGAAUAUCAGCUUUAUUGGCUGUUGGAUAAGGAACAUUGACAUUGAUGUUAGGACUGAAAUUGAUCAAUCAUUAUGUUGAAUUCAAGAGUAGAGAAGGAAUUAGUAAGCAUGUACAAUGAUACUAGAGAUUGCUAGUUCCUUUUCUGCACUGUUAGGAGUUUCGGGUUCAAGUAUCUUGUGCUUUCUGCAAAAUUAUUAUUAUUUGCCUCAAGUUGAUUAAAAAUUCCAUUUUGUCAAGGUGAUCUUGAUAUCGUUUCUUUCUACAUAUGAUACCUUAAGACUGGAGAAUAAUAUUUUUUUAUGUUAUUUCUCUUUGAUUUUGCUUAUAGAAAGUAUUAUCCACCAUUCUCGGGAAAAUGAAAUAUGGCAAUUAGGAGAAGAUUGCAAAAAAUAUUCACUUAACGGCUGGUUGAGAAGGGUACAUCAUUUGUGAAAUAUUUCCUACAGUUGUACGUAACUCCAUCUCUAUUAGUGGAAUGAUCUUUUCCAUAAGCUAAUGAUGCCAAAUUGAUUUAGUUCUCUUAAGCUUCUACUAUUGAAUGUGGUUUUAUGUUUUCUUGCAGAUAGUAGUAGUCGCAUGACUCCUGUAUUUCUUGAAAAUAUUAUAUGAGGUACAAUCGCAUUGUUCUUUUUGCUACUUCGUAGUUUUCCUAAAUCAGUUUAGUAAUGGUUCUUUUCUUUUUCAAUUUCAGUUAUUGGAAGAAGAGUUUAGAGGAAUCUGAGAGCAACUAAUUCAGAGGAAUCCUGGACUUGAGGAAAACAUGAACACUAAAGCUAGAACUAUGACCGACGAUGAUUGUUUUGGAACUUUCAAGGGAAAGUUUAUGUAAUUGAAUGUUGAAGUAACUAUGUGUUUGAUCUAAAUUGUUUGUACUGUAGUGGGAA
rnacentral:lncRNA from 1 species